GCGCAUGGGAGAAGAGUCCAAUACAAUAUGGACUCUUGGUUUUCUUAUUUGAAUCUAAACCAAGUCACAUCUGCUUUAAUCCAAAUAAAUUGAUAAAAUCCAAUCUAAUUAUGUUCAUAAUUUUUUAAUCAAAUUUUAAUCAAAUUAAAAAUUGAUUGAAUUAAAGUCUUGAUCAAAUCAGGGAUAAUUCUCUCUUAACGAUUAG
rnacentral:lncRNA from 1 species